rnacentral:rRNA from 1 species
CCUACGGGCGGCAGCAGUCGGGAAUAUUGCGCAAUGGAGGAAACUCUGACGCAGUGACGCCGCGUGCAGGAAGAAGGUUUUCGGAUUGUAAACUGCUUUAGACAGGGAAGAAACAAGACAGUACCUGUAAAAUAAGCUCCGGCUAACUACGUGCCAGCAGCCGCGGUAAUACGUAGGGAGCAAGCGUUAUCCGGAUUUAUUGGGUGUAAAGGGUGCGUAGACGGGAAGUCAAGUUGGUUGUGAAAUCCCGGGGCUUAACCCCGGAACUGCUUUGGAAACUGUGCGGCUGGAGUGCAGGAGGGGUAAGCGGAAUUCCUAGUGUAGCGGUGAAAUGCGUAGAUAUUAGGAGGAACACCGGUGGCGAAGGCGGCUUACUGGACUGUAACUGACGUUGAGGCUCGAAAGCGUGGGGAGCAAACAGGAUUAGAUACCCUGGUAGUC